rnacentral:rRNA from 1 species
UACGAAGGGGGCUAGCGUUGUUCGGAAUCACUGGGCGUAAAGCGCACGUAGGCGGAUCUUUAAGUCAGGGGUGAAAUCCCGAGGCUCAACCUCGGAACUGCCUUUGAUACUGGGGAUCUCGAGUCCGGGAGAGGUGAGUGGAACUGCGAGUGUAGAGGUGAAAUUCGUAGAUAUUCGCAAGAACACCGGUGGCGAAGGCGGCCCUCUGGACCGGUACUGACGCUGAUGCGCGAAAGCGUGGGGAGCAAACGGG